GGGAAUGUGGCUCAGUGGUAGAGUACUUGUCUUGCAUGCAUGAAGCCCUGGGUUGAAAUCCUCAGUACCA
rnacentral:tRNA from 1 species